rnacentral:rRNA from 1 species
GAUGAACGCUGGCGGCGUGCCUAAUACAUGCAAGUCGAGCGAACAGAUGAGGAGCUUGCUCCUCUGACGUUAGCGGCGGACGGGUGAGUAACACGUGGAUAACCUACCUAUAAGACUGGGAUAACUUCGGGAAACCGGAGCUAAUACCGGAUAAUAUAUUGAACCGCAUGGUUCAAUAGUGAAAGACGGUUUUGCUGUCACUUAUAGAUGGAUCCGCGCCGCAUUAGCUAGUUGGUAAGGUAACGGCUUACCAAGGCGACGAUGCGUAGCCGACCUGAGAGGGUGAUCGGCCACACUGGAACUGAGACACGGUCCAGACUCCUACGGGAGGCAGCAGUAGGGAAUCUUCCGCAAUGGGCGAAAGCCUGACGGAGCAACGCCGCGUGAGUGAUGAAGGUCUUCGGAUCGUAAAACUCUGUUAUUAGGGAAGAACAAAUGUGUAAGUAACUAUGCACGUCUUGACGGUACCUAAUCAGAAAGCCACGGCUAACUAAG